UACGUAGGUGGCGAGCGUUGUCCGGAUUUACUGGGCGUAAAGAGCGCGCAGGCGGUCGUAUAAGUCACGUGUGAAAGCCCCCGGCUCAACUGGGGAGGGUCACGCGAUACUGAUCGACUCGAAGGCAGGAGAGGGUAGUGGAAUUCCCGGUGUAGUGGUGAAAUGCGUAGAUAUCGGGAGGAACACCAGUGGCGAAGGCGACUACCUGGCCUGUUCUUGACGCUGAGGCGCGAAAGCUAGGGGAGCAAACGGG
rnacentral:rRNA from 1 species